rnacentral:rRNA from 1 species
AGUAACACGUGAGUAACCUGCCCUCUUCUUUGGGAUAACGCCCGGAAACGGGUGCUAAUACUGGAUAUUCAGCUUGCCUUCGCAUGGGGGUGGGUGGAAAGGGUUUUUUUCUGGUGGGGGAUGGGCUCGCGGCCUAUCAGCUUGUUGGUGGGGUGAUGGCUUACCAAGGCUUUGACGGGUAGCCGGCCUGAGAGGGUGACCGGUCACAUUGGGACUGAGAUACGGCCCAGACUCCUACGGGAGGCAGCAGUGGGGAAUAUUGCACAAUGGGCGCAAGCCUGAUGCAGCGACGCCGCGUGAGGGAUGGAGGCCUUCGGGUUGUGAACCUCUUUCGCUCAUGGUCAAGCCGCAACUCAUGGUUGUGGUGAGGGUAGUGGGUAAAGAAGCGCCGGCUAACUACGUGCCAGCAGCCGCGGUAAUACGUAGGGCGCGAGCGUUGUCCGGAAUUAUUGGGCGUAAAGGGCUUGUAGGCGGUUGGUCGCGUCUGCCGUGAAAUCCUCUGGCUUAACUGGGGGCGUGCGGUGGGUACGGGCUGACUUGAGUGCGGUAGGGGAGACUGGAACUCCUGGUGUAGCGGUGGAAUGCGCAGAUAUCAG